CCAUCCUAAAAGCAGCAAUAAACAGGAUAAUUACAUCUCUCUCUACAGCACCCAUCAUGGAACCAGCCCUUGGCAAUGCCAACAUCUAUUUCCCCAAGGGUAUUGACUGGCUGUGAUAGUUCUGCUUGGAAAAUGGCUCUGUGGAGUUCUGUCACCAACAAGAUGCUUUCUUGGAUGUCAGCCAAGCAGGAAAUGCCAACACAAUUACCACCACAAUGUAAGUGCAUUAUUGGUUUUGGAAGAAGAGUCCAUAAAAGCAUCAGCAACCCACCUCAGCAGUAUCCUGUCCACAGCAACGUUGGUGGAAGAAGCAAUGAGGAGUUUCCAUGGAGUUGCCCUCGGACCCUCCGUAGCUUCACUGCUUUCAAAGAGCUGCACAAGGAACAAGAUCACCACAGACAGCAAGUAGCUCUUGCCAGCUCCAAAAACACCUGGUAUUUUGGAAGAAAAAGCCCAAGUUAUAAGCCAUCAUCUGAGCUACGUGAAUGAGUGAUGCUGCUUGAUCUGGGUUCAGGGAGAACCUCUGGAUCAUCUCUUCAGCCACUCCCAUUGCCACUUCAGAGCUCACAGGGCCAGACAUCAUUGAGCAUUUCAGGCUCAUGGCAGAAAGAAACAUUUACUCUUUAAAUAUAGAGAAAACGUGUUAAAUCCUGCUGAAAGCCGGAGCGACUGGAGUAUUUAUAAACCUCGAAUUCACACAGCAUUUCAGGAUACCUCACCAAAAGCUGGCAUUCCUCAUAGACAGCAAUCUUUUGACUCCUGAGGACUGAUUUAUUCCUGGCUCUUCAAUAACAUCAGGCUUCAUUUGAAAAUUCCCUUCUCUGAUAACAUCAACAUCAUCCUUAUGAAGACUCCUGGAGCUUGGAGACUUUAUUUAAAACAAAAGCAUAAGGGAAAACUUGUUAGAAAUUAAACUGUUUAUCUUCUUUUUUCCAAGUGCAACCGAUCAAAGGAGCAGAAAAAACCAAGUCACACAUUACGAAGUUCUAUGACAAAGGUAAGUAAAAAGAAUAUGUUUUGAUAUGAUUGUAGCAGUUUUAAAAUGAACUAUUUCCUAUCCUAAAUUGACAGGACACUUUCUUGCACUAAGGUUAGUAUGGAUAACUGAAUACAAAAAACGUUUUACCUGUC